AGAGUUUGAUCCUGGCUCAGAUUGAACGCUGGCGGAAUGCUUUACACAUGCAAGUCGAACGGCAGCACGGGAGCUUGCUCCUGGUGGCGAGUGGCGAACGGGUGAGUAAUGCGUCGGAACGUACCGAGUAAUGGGGGAUAACGCAGCGAAAGCUGUGCUAAUACCGCAUACGCCCUGAGGGGGAAAGUGGGGGAUCGCAAGACCUCACGUUAUUCGAGCGGCCGACGUCUGAUUAGCUAGUUGGUGGGGUAAUGGCCUACCAAGGCGACGAUCAGUAGCGGGUCUGAGAGGAUGAUCCGCCACACUGGAACUGAGACACGGUCCAGACUCCUACGGGAGGCAGCAGUGGGGAAUUUUGGACAAUGGGGGCAACCCUGAUCCAGCCAUUCCGCGUGAGUGAAGAAGGCCUUCGGGUUGUAAAGCUCUUUCAGCUGGAACGAAACGGUACGCUCUAACAUAGCGUGCUAAUGACGGUACCGGCAGAAGAAGCACCGGCUAACUACGUGCCAGCAGCCGCGGUAAUACGUAGGGUGCGAGCGUUAAUCGGAAUUACUGGGCGUAA
rnacentral:rRNA from 1 species